UCGCUGUGAUGAAGUAGAUUCCUAAGUCAUUCGUAGUUUCCACCAGAGGUUGAAAGACCAAAGAUGGCUCAAGUACCUUCCUUGGAUGUCUGAGCGA
rnacentral:snoRNA from 1 species